CAGUCGCCACGGGAAUACGAAGGAGGCUAGCGUUGUUCGGAAUCACUGGGCGUAAAGGGCUCGCAGGCGGUUUCUUAAGUCUGAUGUGAAAGCCCCCGGCUCAACCGGGGAGGGUCAUUGGAAACUGGGAGACUUGAGUGCAGAAGAGGAGAGUGGAAUUCCACGUGUAGCGGUGAAGUGCGUAGAGAUGUGGAGGAACACCAGUGGCGAAGGCGACUCUCUGGUCUGUAACUGACGCUGAGGAGCGAAAGCGUGGGGAGCGAACAGGAUUAGAUACCCGAGUAGUCCCUGUCUCUUAUAC
rnacentral:rRNA from 1 species